rnacentral:rRNA from 1 species
CCGGCGACCGGCGCACGGGUGAGUAACACGUAUGCAACCUGCCCGUCUCAGGGGGAUAAUCGUCGGAAACGGCGUCUAAUACCCCGUAUGAAGCUGGACGGCAUCGUCUGGUUUUGAAAGAAUAUCGGAGACGGAUGGGCAUGCGGCGCAUUAGCUAGUUGGCGGGGUAACGGCCCACCAAGGCGACGAUGCGUAGGGGUUCUGAGAGGAAGGUCCCCCACACUGGUACUGAGACACGGACCAGAUUCCUACGGAAGGCAGCAG